rnacentral:rRNA from 1 species
GAUGAACGCUAGCGGCAGGCUUAACACAUGCAAGUCGAGGGGUAGGUUACUUCGGUAAUUGAGACCGGCGCACGGGUGCGUAACGCGUAUACAAUCUACCUUUUACAGAGGGAUAGCCCAGAGAAAUUUGGAUUAAUACCUCAUAGUAUUUUUGAAUCGCAUGAUUUGAUUAUUAAAGUUCCAACGGUAAAAGAUGAGUAUGCGUCCCAUUAGCUAGAUGGUAAGGUAACGGCUUACCAUGGCUACGAUGGGUAGGGGUCCUGAGAGGGAGAUCCCCCACACUGGUACUGAGACACGGACCAGACUCCUACGGGAGGCAGCAGUGAGGAAUAUUGGACAAUGGGCGCAAGCCUGAUCCAGCCAUGCCGCGUGCAGGAAGAAGGUCCUAUGGAUUGUAAACUGCUUUUAUACAGGAAGAAACACUCCCUCGUGAGGGAACUUGACGGUACUGUAAGAAUAAGGAUCGGCUAACUCCGUGCCAGCAGCCGCGGUAAAGUCGUACGAUC